rnacentral:lncRNA from 1 species
CGGGAAGCUCGUUAGAAACAAACGACCGUUGCGCGCUCGCGAUCGUGCGCGCGCAGGAGCGUCUGUUUGCUAGCUGAGAGGAAACAUGAUGCUACCGUUCCCACAAACUUUCAGGACCCAUGAAGUUCUCCAGAGAACGUUAUAAGCAAGCAGUGCGCUCGCGUGACGCUCAUUGAGGCCGGGGACGGUUUAGUUUAGAGCACGUCAGGAAUCCGCUCCAGGGCCCGUGGGUUGUGGAUUAUUCUGGUUGUUCGCGGCCUUGGGUCAAACUACCGCCGCAAGUGUGACAGACGAGACGCAAGGGAUAACGUCGCUUUCUUCACGUCAACGAGCACUGAGGAGGAUUUCUGCUCGAUUCAGUCAAUCCAGUGCCGCUGGUCCUCAGACGGUGCGGGAGCUCAGAGGAAAGCGGUCGCACCCACAGGCCACGCAGCUAAUAGAGUCACGCUCAGAGAGAGGCGCUGUUUUCACGCUGGCCUCUCGCAGAGCCGACGGCGUCUUCCUGCACGACGCAGGUCAGCGGGGGCUAACGCCAGCUCUGCAUUAGCAAGAACGCUGCAGGCAGGAAGCCAAGCGGGGACGCGGCGACGCACAAAUGGAGCGCUUCCACGUGGCAAAUAAAGAAGUGCAGAGGCA